rnacentral:lncRNA from 1 species
GUACAAAACACACACACAAAUGUGUCAUUGUAAGUGAAAGAGCCAUCAUGGUACUUAUAACAAUAGUACAAUACAGUAUUUCUUUGGAUUUCAGGGGGGUCUUGAUUCUGAAGGCAGGUUGUUUUCAUAAUAAAGAUGUCAUGAUGUCUUGAAUUGGGCUAGUUUAGCUAAGCCCAGAUCAAAUGAAGAAAAAGAAACUAGUCAAGAUCAUUAUCUUUACCACUUGCUCUGGAAUGUGUUUCUCAAAUAUGUAUUUAGAUGAAUGCAUGGCUGUCGUAACACACUCCCACAAUUACCUACAUACCAAAGUAACUUCCCGUCUCCCCAUCACCCCAGUGCCCUUUUCUCCCAUAUAUUUUAAAGUGAUAAGGCUCAAUGUAAACUUCCUCCUUCCCAAACGUUUAGGGCAGUUCCUGCCAAAGUGCCCCAUUCUACAAAGUGAUUUAGUACUUUAACCUUGCUCCAGACACUCUGACAUCUCUGUUUAGUCUCUGGUGUAAAAAGGUUCGUCUCUCAUAUUUCUUGAGGUUGGGGAAAGGAAAUGGUCACAGAGUUUAGGUGAGGGUGGGAAAGUGAUGCCCUGCUCAUUUGGGGUUUUGUCUUCCAGAGUUCUUCCUCCAUUUUCCUGAUGCCACCAGUAUUAAGGCCAUUGUGUGUGAACAGAUUGCACACAUCUGUCCUGCUGUUGCCCUGAUGACAGUGUACUGCCUUGUUCCUGGUGGUCUCAUUUGUUUUACAAGCUAGGGUACCUGGAACAGAGGUGGUCAAGUAACUCUGUGUGGGACUUCGAUCCUCCUUUAAGGGAAGGACCUACAUGGAGAUGUGAUUAAUGAAUAUACCUCCCUUACCUUUCUUGGCUGAAAGAAUAGCAGCUGUUACUUUAUUCUCUUUCAAAGGAUAAGGGCCAAUAUGCAGAGGUGAGUGAGGCCUCUCAUUUGAUGAUUGAAUCUCCUUCUGUGCUUUUUGGGAAAAAAUGCCUUGAUGGUUGUCUUCAGCUAUUUAGAAUUAGAAAGUAUGAAGAAAAUGUUUUCAUAUUGGUUUUUACUUUAAACAUUUUUUAAAAACCUAUGAACUUUAUUUUCUAGAGUCGACAGCCCUGUAGCCGUGGGUAUUGGGAUAACUUUCCCUAUCCCUCUCCCUAUGGUGUGAGAAGGGACAUUAAACCUCAUCCUUUGUUUGCCACUUUGGUUUCCAGUGCUCUGCCUUGACCACUUAGCACUCUCUCCGAAUAGCUGUAGGUCGAGAAUAGUGGGCAGGAGCAUCAGAGAAGAGUUGGCGUGAGAACGGAACAGCACCACAAAAUAGAAGGCGAGAGGGAAAAAAGCAUCUCGGAGGAAGAAAAUACUGCCGCCUGGUACUCCCUGGUACCCAGAGAUAUCCGGCGUAUUGUGCUUACACUACUCGCCGGUUCCACAGGGAGAGAGCCGGAAGAAUUGCAGGCUUUGGUGGUGACAAGUUCAGGCACUCAUGGGAAAGAGAGUGGGCCCCUUUCUGAGAGAAAUCAUUUUGAGCACAGCCAAGCCAAGAUAUUUUGAGAUGUGAUUCAGACCUGAGAAUGAAACUGCGGGGGGAUGGGAUACUUCGGUUGGGAACAGAUUAGCCCAUUUUUAACAUAGUUGAAAUGUUGAAGUGGUGCCAUCCUAACAAAUGAAUACUUAGCCCCGGGUUUCGAGAAAGUGGCCAAGGAUAAAAGAGGCUAAGUGCAUGGCAUCAAAGCCAAAGCUGGCCUCCUUAUCUGUGGGAGCUGCAGUUGGUUUUCUCAGAGGCAGAAAGUACACUGAACCUAGUUACAUAAGACCCGAGUUCAAGUUCCCACUCCAUUCCACUUGGUGUUAAGUCCUUUAAACUGUUACUUAACUGCUUUAUAAUCUGCAUUAUAGGUUGUUAAAAAUAAGAACAUAUGAAAUACUAAGGGCUUAUAAUGAAAAUUAUAAGUGAUACGAUUCAAAUACGAAUGAAAUUAUAAAUUGAAGGUCAUGGCUUCAAUUUCCACUUAAGCUAAUUACCUUUGUAUUAAGAUUUUUGAGCAAACCCAACCAGUUAUCUGGCAAUCGUAGACACCAUUUUAAUCAGUACUUUACCUUCUAAAUAUGCAAAUAUUUAGAGUUCACACAAACUCUAAAUAUGUUCAUGUGAACAGGGCCACUACCUGAAUAUUAAACCACCAUUAGAAUCUGAUACUCGUCAUUGAAAUACAGCAUAACCUUUUAAUACAUUUGUGGAAACACCAUUUUAAAUUGUU